rnacentral:rRNA from 1 species
CAGUAGCCGCGGUAAUACAGAGGGUGCGAGCGUUAAUCGGAUUUACUGGGCGUAAAGCGUGCGUAGGCGGCUUUUUAAGUCGGAUGUGAAAUCCCUGAGCUUAACUUAGGAAUUGCAUUCGAUACUGGGAAGCUAGAGUAUGGGAGAGGAUGGUAGAAUUCCAGGUGUAGCGGUGAAAUGCGUAGAGAUCUGGAGGAAUACCGAUGGCGAAGGCAGCCAUUUGGCCUAAUACUGACGCUGAGGUACGAAAGCAUGGGGAGCAAACAGGAUUAGAUACCCCAGUAGUCCCUGUCUCUUAUAA